GGGGGGGCUGCAGGUUGACUCCGUGAGGACCUCGGAGUCGGCCGAGGCGUUGGCCGCAGGGAUCCUGACAGCCCGACCCCCGGACCUUGGACCCCAAAGCCAGAUACCGUUGCCCACCUAGAAUUCAGAAUAGAGCCAUGGAUGAUGGACAGAGGGCUCUCCCAAGAUUCCUGCCUAGAGUAGAAAAAGAGACCUAAAAGCCAAGAGUCACCACCAACAGAGGCCUUUUCUGGUAAAGAGUUACCAAGCAGCAGAGUGAACCUGACAAGAUCCACAGUGGGUGAUUGCUGGCCUUGUACCCGAGCAGACAGUCGGGAGUCUAGGGAUGAGCCAGAGAAGCAGAAGAUGCAUGACGGCAGCUUGGGGUCAAUGGAACGUGAACAAGGGCAAGUAGUGACCCAGGAUGGGGACUGGGGAAAUGCUGAAGUUGUGGAAAAAUGCAGCUUCAAUUCAGACUUUCUUUCUGCACAGAAAUUUCUUGUCAAAGAAUAUUUCUGUCAAAUUGACUCAGUUCAAAGCUUCCAGCAUAAUUUUGUUUUCAAAAAUUGUCAGGAAAAUCUUGGUAGUGAAGAAAGCUUAUAAAGGCAAUCCACGUGGAAAAGCCUUAGGAAAUCUGUAUAAAUUGAGCAUGGUAAAUAUACCAACCAGAGCAUAUACCUUUCUACACAUGAGAUUAUUAAUGUAGGAAAUAAACCCUAUGGCUUUAAAGAAAGUGGAGAUUUUUUUACCCAUAGCUCAUGCUUCUCUCACUUCAUGAGAACUCAUACUAAGGAGAAACCCUAUGAAUAUAAUGCAUGUGGGAAAGCCUUUAAGAAACUUUCAUCUCUUUCUUACCAUCUGAGAAAUCACAAUAGAGAGAAAGCCUAUGAAUGUAAUGAAUGUGGGAAGUCUUUCUGGAAGAGCCUUCACCUCAUUUUGCACCAGAGAACUCACACUGGUGAGAAACCUCAUGAAUGUAAUAAAUGUGAAAAGUCUUUUAGCCAUAGUUCUUACCAUAAUGUACACCAGAGAAUUUAUACUGGAGAGAAACCCUGUAAAUGUGAUGAAUGUGGAAAAUC